rnacentral:tRNA from 2 species
GGAAGGGUGGCCGAGUUGGUUAUGGCGCCAGGUUAAGGUCAGCUUAACAUCUGUUUCCUGGUGGGGCCUGUUUCCUGGUGGGGCAACCCGCGCGAGUUCGAGUCUCGUCCCUUUCA